rnacentral:rRNA from 1 species
UAGUCCACGCCCUAAACGAUGUCAACUAGACGUUGGGUUCAUUAAGGAACUUAGUGUCGAAGCUAACGCGUUAAGUUGACCGCCUGGGGAGUACGGCCGCAAGGUUGAAACUCAAAUGAAUUGACGGGGGCCCGCACAAGCGGUGGAGCAUGUGGUUUAAUUCGAAGCAACGCGAAGAACCUUACCUACUCUUGAAAUCCUGCGAACUUGCUAGAGAUAGCUUGGUGCCUUCGGGAACGCGGUGACAGGUGCUGCAUGGCUGUCGUCAGCUCGUGUUGUGAAAUGUUGGGUUAAGUCCCGUAACGAGCGCAACCCCUAUCCUUAGUUGCCAGCGCGUAAUGGCGGGGACUCUAAGGAGACUGCCGGUGACAAACCGGAGGAAGGCGGGGAUGACGUCAAGUCAUCAUGGCCCUUACGAGUAGGGCUACACACGUGCUACAAUGGCGCAUACAGACGGUUGCGAAGUCGCGAGAUGGAGCUAAUCUGAGAAAGUGCGUUGUAGUCCGGAUUGG